GUAAAAUAAAACUUCGAUCGAGACAAUUAAUCCUAAGCAAUUAACCAAGUUGUCCGGCAUGUCAUUGGUCCCUCGACGCUUCGUCCGAUUAUUCGACACAUCGUCCUCUCCUGCGGCUUAUUGCCCAAUCGACCAGUUGACUCCGCAACUCCGAUAUCCUUGGCACAAUACCUGCUCUUCUUGGCCUGUUGCCCGAGUCCAU
rnacentral:lncRNA from 1 species